rnacentral:rRNA from 1 species
GUCCGCAAGGACAAUUUGAUAAUUUGACCUCAAAUCAGGUAGGACUACCCGCUAAACUUAA